CGGCAAACAACUCUUUUUGAGUUCAAAAUGUUCAGUAACAUUUUUUUUCUAAUAUUCAACAUAUUCAACAACAAACAAAGCAAAACAAAAAAAAACGAAAAGGGACGUGUGAGACGCUUCUUACGCGUCACAACUUUUAUAUCCGGCACUCAGUACUACAUCUGCACCUUAGCGUUUAUUUGUCAAAUUUUACAUUUUUUCUUCAUCUGUCAUCUUCUUCUUUAGCUCGCCACCCUCCCCUAUAGCCACACAGCAGAGGCAGAGACGUAUCUGCUCGAUGCAGAUUGUGAAUGAAAAACAAAUAUAAUAUAGCCACUGCAAAUUAAUUGCUUCAUUGUGUCCAUAAUAAUGAUCCAAUCGGAUCCCAAUUUGGUGAUUUGAUACCCUACGAAAUGGCGUUUUUAGAUUUCUUUUAUCUUCAAAACUGUAGGUUUGGGAUGUUUUCGCCCUUUUGCGGGGGCGGAAGGGGGCGUGGCUCAUUUUUGAAAUACACUGUUUUCAGUGUGAGCAUACAGCAGUCUGGAUGCAAAAUUUGGUGGCUCUAGCUCUUAUAGUCUCUGAGAACUAGCCGACGAACAAGACGAACAGACGGACAGACCCGGCUGUUGAUACUGAUCAAGAAUAUUUAUACCUUCUGGGGUCGGAAAAGUUUUCUUCUGUGCGUUACAUUCAACCGUUAUUCCCAACAAAUACAAUACUCUGCGAGUCCGGGUAUAAAAAAGUAAAUGUUGUAUUUAAUGACAAACUAACAAAAAAUAUUCUGCAGAUUGAAAGCCCUUCAAUUCAUACAGCUCAAUGGAUUCAGAAAGUGCUGUUAAUGUGCUGCUUAAUGCCACAUUUUUUGGUUACAUAGUCUACUUGUGGCAAUAUCACAUUUUUCUUUCUUUUGCGGAGGCGCUUCACUACGUCUGGGACUUGGACUUGGAAGUCUUUGUUGACUACUAUGUUCGGACUACUAUGAAACGAAAUUUCAGGAAACGCCUGACAAACACCGCAACAAGACUUUGAUAAGUGCUGGAAUGUUUCGUCAGACAUCCCUGUCAAUGGAAUAAUUAUCGAAUCCUCCUCCAUCAUCAUCGAACUGAAGUACUUGGUCAAUCCAUCCAAUAUUGCUGUAGCGAUUAAAAAUUAAAAAAAAGAGAAAAAUCGUAC
rnacentral:lncRNA from 1 species